GUGAGAUAGUCUCAUGAUGGCAGGAACGUCUGAGCCAGCCCAGGUGCCCCUCCUGUGCAUCCAAGAUGGAUUCACAUCCCCGGCUCUCGGCAAGAUAAGUGCAGGGCAAAGCCCCAGAGAGGGGUUGGGAGUGGGUGCAAGUCUGUGCCUGGCCUGGAGGGAUUUUUGCAAUUAGUCCAGUGCAGUGGGUAUCCUGGAACAGGUUAUUUGGAUGCAUCAGAGGAAGGGCUUACUUUGUAUCACUGGAUUCACAUGUGCAGGGCAGAGCAGUUCUGGUGUGUGUCAUGUCCUUUGUCUCGUCUGUGUUUUGUGUCCUUCGUCUCUUAAUUGUGUCACGUGGUGUGUGUUGUCACAGGUGUGGGGUGUCUCACUUGGGGUCAGCCUGGAACUGCUCUGCUUUGCUACGUGGAUCAGUGCGUAGAUAGAAUAUUGCUCAGAGUCUGUCCAGUCUGUGAGCAGGAUGGUCUUGCGAUGCCCUGCUUGGGUGUAUAGCGUCCCGGCUAGGUAGAGUAGGAACCAGUGUCUAGGGUUUAGAGGUUUUUGUCUUUCGUUGUGAGCAAUCCCUAAAUGUUGGAGGGCUGAGUGUUUGAGCAUUUGCCCAUUUCAUUUGCAGGGGCGGUCUUGGGAGCAGCUGAAGAGAGAGGAGCCUUGUAGGUGAGUCGGGGAGGCAGCAGGAGGAGCGGGGAUCCCCUGCAGCUUUAGAGAUGCCCUCUAAUUUUGUCUCUCACUCACUCAGGUAUCCCAGAAGAUGACAGCACAUUGUCCGACUCCAGUCAGAGCCAGCAACCCGAGGCCCUGCCUCAGUGACAGCGAGUAGAGGGGUCAUGGGGGCUGGGGCCACGUGCCACACUACUCACAUAUGGUGUCUGGAUUUCUUUCUGGCAGUUGACUCCGAGUAGUCUGACGAUGGCAGGAACCUCUGAGCCAGCCCAGGUGCCCCUCGUCUGCAUCAAAACUGGAUUGGCAUCCCCGGCUCUCGGAAAGAUAAGUGCAGGGCAAAGACCCAGAGAGGGGCUGGGAGUCAGUGCAAGUAUAUGUGCCUUGCCUGGAAGGGUUUUUGAAAUUAGUCCGGUGCAAGGGAUAUCCUAUAACAGAUUAUUUGUCUCGUCUGUGUUUUGUGUCCUUCGUCUCUUAAUUGUGUCACGUGGUGUGUGUUGUCACAGGUGUGGGGUGUCUCACUUGGGGUCAGCCUGGAACUGCUCUGCUUUGCUACGUGGAUCAGUGCGUAGAUAGAAUAUUGCUCAGAGUCUGUCCAGUCUGUGAGCAGGAUGGCCUUGUGAUGCCCUGCUUGGGUGUAUGGAGUCCCAGCUAGGUAGAGUAGGAACCAGUGUCUAGGGUUUAGAGGUUUUUGUCUUUCGUUGUGAGCAAUCCCUAAAUGUUGGAGGGCUGAGUGUUUGAGCAUUUGCCCAUUUCAUUUGCAGGGGCGGUCUUGGGAGCAGCUGAAGAGAGAGGAGCCUUGUAGGUGAGUCGGGGAGGCAGCAGGAGGAGUGGGGAUCCCCUGCAGCUUUAGAGAUGCCUUCUCAUUUUCUGUCUCACUCACUCAGGUAUCCCGGAAGGUGACAGCCACAGUGUCGGACUCCGGUCAGAGCCAGGGUGCUGGUGAGUAGGGGGAUCACUGGGGUUGGAGCCCCGUGCCACACAACUCACAUAUCACUUAUGAUUUUUUUCCUUGUAGUUGAGUUGGAGAAACCCCAUGACCUCACGAUGGGGCGACUGACCCAGAUUGGUCAUCUUGGGCUGUCCUCGUGUGCAAUCUCCGAGAUUUAAAAGGAUGAGCAAUGAGGCACUGAGCUUUAGUGCUGGCAGGUGUCAUCUGGGUAACUUUUGGGAGCAUCCGGGCAUUGGAGGUGAGUCGGGGAGGCAGCAUGAGAAGCGGGGAUGCACUGCAGCUUUAGAAAUGCCCUCUAAUUUUGUCUUGCUUUUAUUUCUCUUAGUCUCUUUUCCUGAUUUUAAUUCUCUUAGUCUCAUCUUCUGCUUUUAUUUCUCUUAGGCUCUUCUCCUGCUAUUAAUUCUUGUAGUCUCUUCUCCUGAUUUUAAUUCUCUUAGGCUCUUCUCCUGAUUUUAAUGCUCUUAAUCUCUUCUCUUGCUUUUAAUUCUCUUACUCACUUCUCCCUCUUUUUAUUUCUCUUAGUCUCUUCUCCUGAUUGUAAUUUUCCUAGGCUCUUCUCCUGAUUUUAAUUCUUUUUGACUCUUCUCCUGAUUUUAUUUCUCUUAGGCUCUUCUCCUGUUUUUA
rnacentral:lncRNA from 1 species